CCCAUGACUGUCCACUCUCCAACCAACGUGGCAUAAAAGCACACAAGUCUAACUGCUCCUUCCGGUCUUUGUUUCCUUAUGAAGUCUCCCGUGUCAGUUUAAUUUGCAGGCCCCCAAAGACGAAACAGAAGAGUGUAGAGGGAAGAGGACAUCAGGAC